CAUACCUGUUUUUUCUCUUCAGAUCUCUUCGACUUUGAUAAAAACAAGGACGGGUUUUUGGACCAAUCAGAGCUGGAAGAUGUCAUGAACACGCGGGAAGCACGUGAUGUUCUGGAAAUGGCCGACGAAGACGGAAACUCCAAGGUAUCGAUGGAGGAGUUUCAAAACAUGUUAACAGAGAUGGGUAAACUGGAAUAA